CCUCCCCCUCCUUCAACCUACCGAGCUCCCUCGGGGCGCAUGCGCAGUGGCAGCCUCCCAUCUUUCUCCCAGCCAGAGCCAGAGCUAGAGCCUGAGCAGCAGAAGCAGGAGCAGCUGAUGAUGAGGAGAGAGGGGGAGGCUGGGGGACCUUUUAUUUAUAUUGUUAAAGGGACAGAGCGCUAAUUCCGCCCGGGAUUGGUGUGUGGGGGGGUCGGAGCGAGGAGCCUGAGUUUCUCCCCCCACCCCCAGCCCAGCCAGAGGAUCCCAGAGAGACCCUGGGAGAGGAGAGUUUCUUCCCCCCCUUUGGCCGUCAGAGGAGAGAGAAAGAGACCAAAAACCUCUUAGCAGCGCAGCCCCUUCUUCUGCCUCUGCUGCUGCUGCUGCUCGGCCCUGGCUGGAGACCCCUCAGCACACGCACACGGAGGAGCAGCAGCCAGUUCACCAGCCCCCCCCCUCCCCUCCUCCCCCUUUAUUACCCUUUGUGUGUGUCUCCUUCUGCACUGCUCCAGGCCGGGGAAUAAAAGUGGGGUGCAGCCAAGAUUCUCAUUGAGAAUGUUGAUUAUUGGAUGUAUAAGAGUUGGAGAGCAUAUUGUUUACAGUGAAGAUCUUUUAAAAUCUGCUUUUUAGACAGCAACGUUUUCUACAGCACCCAUCACUGCAAUAUGUGCAACUCAUCAAAAACAAUAUGUUAUAUUAGAAUAUGAAGGGUAGCCAUCGGAGGUUUUAUUAUGGUGUUUGGACUAAAGAAAGAAGAAAUUGUAAACAAAUAUGCAAGGAAGAAGAGGUGUCACCGUGAUAAAAUAGACGAGAAAGGCCUCCUUGUUUUCUUUCUCAGCAUUAUAACACUAAUUCUUUCUAAGGGUCCAGUAAACCACCAAGGGUUGGUGGAUUUUUUCCACCAGCUUGCCUAAAUUGAGCUUGGAAUGAACAGGAUGAAUUUACCCACGUUAAGUCUAAACCUUAGCAAGGAAAAAGGUCAGUUUUUUGCAUCUUGAUGUAACUAAAUAUUGUACUGUAAAUUAGUCUGUUAACUGAAAAACACCACCACCACAUUUCAGGCUGAUAU
rnacentral:lncRNA from 1 species